CAGGUAGCUGAGCAGACGGGUUAAAGCUCCAGCUUAGGCAGGAACAGGGACCAGGAUUCGAUCCCUAGCAUGUGGUGCCGGCCCCACCCCCAUGGGGUGUGCUGA